UUCUUCCUAUAUAAGGAGGUAAGGCCUGCUCACUGAAUUUUGAAGAGCCGCAGUAUCCUGACUGUGCUAAGGUAGCAUAAUAAUUUGUCUCUUAAUUGGGGACUAGAAUGAAUGGUCUAACGAGAAAUUAACUUUUUUAGGAAUAAUAAUUAAACUUAAUUUUUUAGUGAAAAAGCUAAAAUAAGAUAAAAAGACGAGAAGACCCUAUAGAGUUUUAUAUAUAAACUAUUUACAUUUUAAUAACUUUUUAGAAUUGUAAAUAAAGACUAUAUUUUGUUGGGGCGACAUUUAGAUAAAAAAAACUUUUUAUAUUAAAAACUCAAAUUUGAGUAUUUACUGAUCCUUAAAAAAGAUUAAAAGUAUAAAUUACCUUAGGGAUAACAGCGUAAUCUCCCUUGAGAGCUCAAAUCGACAGGGAGGUUUGCGACCUCGAUGUUGGACUAAAAUUAAACUAAGGUGCAGAAGUCUUAGAUUUAGGUCUGUUCGACCUAUAGAUUUUU
rnacentral:rRNA from 1 species